rnacentral:rRNA from 1 species
AUGGCGCCCGAGCACCACCCAGCGCCGGAAGCAGUCCACCCCAUGGCCGUCCUCGCGGGCCCGCGCCAGGAGCUCCAGGACCGGCCAUGCCCCGCUGCUUCUCCUUCCCUUCUUCUUCUCCCGUUCCAUCUGGUUCCCUCUCUCAUCUGCUCUCUAUCCUCUCCAGGAGACUGCAGGAGGCAAACACCCCGCCAUGGCCUUGCAGCUCUGCCGCCGCGCCAUCUUCAGGCGCUCAGGCACGAGCUUGCCCGCGCCCCGUCUUCCUCCUCGUCGCGUGGAUCUAGGCGGUUCGAUGCCCAGACGCUUGCCUCCCGCUCGCGUUGA